CCGGAGGUGGCCUCCAACCAGGGUUCACCUUAUCGACGGUAAAGCGAUUUUCGCCAACUAGCGGUAUCGGUAAACCGGCGGUAAAUCGCCGAAAACCGCUAGAAACCGCUCGAAAUGACAAUUCAAAUUCAAAAAACCGGU